GAGCCUGAGAAACGGCUACCACAUCCAAGGAUGGCAGCAGGCGCGCAAAUUACCCAAUCCCGACACGGGGAGGUAGUGACAAUAAAUAACAAUACGGGGUUCUUUAGGAUCUCGUAAUUGGAAUGAGUACAAUUUAAAUCUCUUAACGAGGAACAAUUGGAGGGCAAGUCUGGUGCCAGCAGCCGCGGUAAUUCCAGCUCCAAUAGCGUAUAUUAAAGUUGUUGCAGUUAAAAAGCUCGUANNUGAAUUUCGGGGUUAGUAGGUUGGUCAUGCCUCUGGUAUGUACUGGUCUCACUGAUUCCUCCUUCCUUAUGAACCGUAAUGCCAUUAAUUUGGUGUUGCGGGGAAUUUGGACUGUUACUUUGAAAAAAUUAGAGUGUUUAAAGCAAGCUAACGCUUGAAUACAUUAGCAUGGAAUAAUGAAAUAGGACGUUCGAUCUUAUUUUGUUGGUUUCUAGGAUUGACGUAAUGAUUAAUAGGGAUAGUUGGGGGCAUUAGUAUUCAAUUGUCAGAGGUGAAAUUCUUGGAUUUAUUGAAGACUAACUACUGCGAAAGCAUUUGCCAAGGAUGUUUUCAUUAAUCAAGAACGAAAGUUAGGGGAUCGAAGACGAUCAGAUACCGUCGUAGUCUUAACCAUAAACUAUGCCGACUAGGGAUCGGAUGAUGUUAAUUUUUUAAUGACUCAUUCGGCGCCUUACGGGAAACCAAA
rnacentral:rRNA from 1 species